AUCUUCUGACCAUAUUAACCUGAAAGUUCUUGGCCAAGAUAAUACAGUCAUACAAUUCAAAAUUAAAAAAAUUACUCAAUUAAGAAAAUUGAUGAAUGCAUACUGUGAAAAAAUUGGUCUUUCUUACAACUCGGUAAGAUUUCGAUUUGAUGGACAAUCGGUUAACGCGAAUGAUACGCCAA